ACGUAGGUGGCAAGCGUUGUUCGGAAUUACUGGGCGUAAAGCGCGCGUAGGCGGCUCUUCAAGUCAGGCGUGAAAGCCCCGGGCUUAACUCGGGAACUGCGCUUGAUACUGUCGAGCUAGAGUGUGGAAGGGGCGAUUGGAAUUCCGUGUGUAGCGGUGAAAUGCGUAGAUAUACGGAGGAACACCAGGGGCGAAGGCGGAUCGCUGGGCCAACACUGACGCUGAUGCGCGAAAGCUAGGGGAGCAAACGGGA
rnacentral:rRNA from 1 species